AGAUUGCUAAAUUUCGGUGAUCAGAAGGAAGCUGGCGUUCUCGGUGUGAUGUGAGCAUAAUCUAAACAAAAAAGAUAUUGUUACUGGAAAAACAUAAUUACGGAAAGGAAAUACUGUGAAAGAAGAAACACAAGUGUGUGUUGUGAAGGAAAAGAAAUGUAUUGCUUUCCGAUGACUUUUUGAAAUGUGAUGAUUCACAUCUAAAGCUGGAAAUAAUUUCUACAUCGGAAUUGAACCUUUCAAUGAAUUUCGAUAUAAGAAUUGCUUUGAAGUUCAGGCAUAUAUCAUCACAGCUCAUAAAAGAAUCAAGUUAUGAUGGUGAUGUUAAUUAUAAUAGUGCCACUCGACAGCUCAUUGUUGUAUAACACCAGAAUACGACUGCUCUUGUCAGAAACAAUACAUUUUAAUCUGCUAAGCUUCGCUGAAAAUAUUUUCGAAUGAUGCCGUUUUUUUGGCUUUGUCAAGCAAAGCUGUUAACUGCUGUCACGGCUUUCGUGACUGCUUCUAACUGCUCCCCCCCUCUUCAAGCAGCAAACAUGUUGACAUUUUUACUGAAAAUAUGUUACAUUUAAUAAAAACAAAACUUUAACCAUUAA